GCUGUCCGAAAGCGAAAACAUCAAGCAAGCCAGCCUAGGAUUUCCCAAAAGAGCAUUCCAAGGAAGCGAGCUCCCCUCAGAAGGGGCUCAGCAAAAGUCCAGCUCAGCUCCUGACACUGUGCAGUGUAAUGUCCGGAGGAACUGAACAGUCGGAGAGCUGGCUACGAUGAACUUGACGAUGGCUUGCACUACAUCAGGAUGCAGAAGACUGUCCCAGAGAGCCUGCCUAGACUUCUCAAGAAAGUUUCCUGAGAGCAAUAUUUUCCUUUGCUGUACUAGUUUCAAGGAUGCUGGUCUCAUCUCCCUACUGUGUGGCCUGUAAUCACUUCUAUCUAUAGCACCACCCUCUAUGAGUCCCUUCUGUGUUCUGGACUAUGUCACAGUCUGGGUCACAGUGGUGAUUCCGAAGAGUGAAGGGGUGGGGUGUCUGGAGCCUUUGUAUAAAUGCAGCAGUCUGCUGGGAGCAUUGAUGAUUUUUGUUGAUGACAAGGAGAAAAAAAUGAAGUUAACCAUUUGUUUAA
rnacentral:lncRNA from 1 species